UACGUAGGGUGCAAGCGUUGUCCGGAAUUAUUGGGCGUAAAGAGCUCGUAGGCGGUCUGUCGCGUCGGAUGUGAAAAUCCAGGGCUCAACCCUGGGCCUGCAUUCGAUACGGGCAGACUAGAGUUCGGUAGGGGAGACUGGAAUUCCUGGUGUAGCGGUGAAAUGCGCAGAUAUCAGGAGGAACACCGGUGGCGAAGGCGGGUCUCUGGGCCGAAACUGACGCUGAGGAGCGAAAGCGUGGGGAGCAAACAGG
rnacentral:rRNA from 1 species